AAUGGGAUACCUGGGUCAAAUGGUGGUUCCAUCCCAAGUUUUAUAAAGACUCUCCAUACUGUUUUCCAGAGUGGUUGUACCAAUUGCAGUCCCACCAGUAAU
rnacentral:pre_miRNA from 1 species